ensembl:ncRNA T12C9.10 ncRNA
UUUUGUGCCUGCCUGCCAAAAUGCCUGCGUUUGUCUCUCUGAGUUUUGGGAAAUUAAACAAGUCAGAUGUAUGUCGCCUUGAAGGCCGACAGGCAUUUUUAGAUUUUUGAACAAAGUUGUGGAAUUACAAAUUUUUUGGUCAUUAUUCACUAUUUGAGAAAGUAAGAGCAAUUUCGUAUACAGUUA